AGUGAACGCUGGCGGCAGGCCUAACACAUGCAAGUCGAACGGCAGCACAGUAAGAUCUUGCUCUUACGGGUGGCGAGUGGCGGACGGGUGAGGAAUACAUCGGCAUCUUCUUUUUCGUGGGGGAUAACGUAGAGACACUUACGCUAAUACCGCAUAUGACCUACGGGUGAAAGCAGUGGUUCUUCGGACCUUUCGCGUUUGUAUUAGCCGAUGUCGGAUUAGCUAGUUGGCGGGGUAAAGGCCCACCUAGGCGACGAUCCGUAGCUGGUCUGAGAGGAUGAUCGGCCACACUGGAACUGAGACACGGUCCAGACUCCUACGGGAGGCAGCAGUGGGGAAUAUUAGGCAAUGGGCGCAAGCCUGAUGCAGCCAUGCCGCGUGAGUGAAGAAGGCCUUCGGGUUGUAAAGCCCUUUUGUUGGGAAAGAACAGCAGCAGGAUAAUACCCCGCUGUUCUGACGGUACCCAAUGAAAAAGCACCGGCUAACUACGUG
rnacentral:rRNA from 1 species